GGUACCUGCAGAAAAAGCACCGGCUAACUACGUGCCAGCAGCCGCGGUAAUACGUAGGGUGCAAGCGUUGUCCGGAAUUAUUGGGCGUAAAGAGCUCGUAGGCGGUUUGUCGCGUCUGCUGUGAAAUCCCGAGGCUCAACCUCGGGCUUGCAGUGGGUACGGGCAGACUAGAGUGCGGUAGGGGAGAUUGGAAUUCCUGGUGUAGCGGUGGAAUGCGCAGAUAUCAGGAGGAACACCGAUGGCGAAGGCAGAUCUCUGGGCCGUAACUGACGCUGAGGAGCGAAAGCAUGGGGAGCGAACAGGAUUAGAUACCCUGGUAGUCCAUGCCGUAAACGUUGGGCGCUAGAUGUAGGGACCUUUCCACGGUUUCUGUGUCGUAGCUAACGCAUUAAGCGCCCCGCCUGGGGAGUACGGCCGCAAGGCUAAAACUCAAAGGAAUUGACGGGGGCCCGCACAAGCGGCGGAGCAUGCGGAUUAAUUCGAUGCAACGCGAAGAACCUUACCAAGGCUUGACAUACACCGGAAACGGCCAGAGAUGGUCGCCCCCUUGUGGUCGGUGUACAGGUGGUGCAUGGUUGUCGUCAGCUCGUGUCGUGAGAUGUUGGGUUAAGUCCCGCAACGAGCGCAACCCUCGUUCUAUGUUGCCAGCGGGUUAUGCCGGGGACUCAUAGGAGACUGCCGGGGUCAACUCGGAGGAAGGUGGGGAUGACGUCAAAUCAUCAUGCCCCUUAUGUCUUGGGCUUCACGCAUGCUACAAUGGCCGGUACAAAGGGCUGCGAUACCGUAAGGUGGAGCGAAUCCCAAAAAGCCGGUCUCAGUUCGGAUUGAGGUCUGCAACUCGACCUCAUGAAGUCGG
rnacentral:rRNA from 1 species